UGGUUCUGGCAUCGAUGAAGAACGCAGCGAAAUGCGAUAAGUAAUGCGAAUUGCAGAAUUCCAGUGAGUCAUCGAAUCUUUGAACGCACAUUGCGCCCCACGGUAUUCCGUGGGGCAUGCCUGUUCGAGCGUCAUUAUCUCACCCCUCAAACCACCUCUCGGGUCGGUCUGGUGUUGGACGGUCUGGUGACACGGCCCCCCUCCGUCGAGGCGGGCCGUGCGACCCCUCCAAAAGAUAACGACGGUGGCCUCGCGGCGCCCCCGGUACACUGAGCUUUGUUCGGAGCACGUACCGGCUGUCAAGGGCGCCCGGGACCCGGUCUACCCUCUCGCCCCCCCGGGACGAGAUGACCCCCCUUCUUUCGGUUGACCUCGGAUCAGGUAGGGAUACGCGCUGA
rnacentral:misc_RNA from 1 species